GGGGGGACCAUCCUCCAAGGCUAAAUACUACUGACUGACCGAUAGUGAACCAGUACCGUGAGGGAAAGGCGAAAAGAACCGCGGAGAGCGGAGUGAAAUAGAUCCUGAAACCGUAUGCGUACAAGCAGUGGGAGCCCACUUUGUUGGGUGACUGCGUACCUUUUGUAUAAUGGGUCAGCGACUUAUUUUCAGUGGCGAGCUUAACCGAAUAGGGGAGGCGUAGCGAAAGCGAGUCUUAAUAGGGCGUCUAGUCGCUGGGAAUAGACCCGAAACCGGGCGAUCUAUCCAUGGGCAGGUUGAAGGUUGGGUAACACUAACUGGAGGACCGAACCGACUACCGUUGAAAAGUUAGCGGAUGACCUGUGGAUCGGAGUGAAAGGCUAAUCAAGCUCGGAGAUAGCUGGUUCUCCUCGAAAGCUAUUUAGGUAGCGCCUCAUGUAUCACUGUAGGGGGUAGAGCACUGUUUCGGCUAGGGGGUCAUCCCGACUUACCAAACCGAUGCAAACUCCGAAUACCUACAAGUGCCGAGCAUGGGAGACACACGGCGGGUGCUAACGUCCGUCGUGAAAAGGGAAACAACCCAGACCGUCAGCUAAGGUCCCAAAGUCAUGGUUAAGUGGGAAACGAUGUGGGAAGGCUUAGACAGCUAGGAGGUUGGCUUAGAAGCAGCCACCCUUUAAAGAAAGCGUAAUAGCUCACUAGUCGAGUCGGCCUGCGCGGAAGAUGUAACGGGGCUCAAACCAUGCACCGAAGCUACGGGUAUCAUCUUUUGAUGAUGCGGUAGAGGAGCGUUCUGUAAGCCUGUGAAGGUGAGUUGAGAAGCUUGCUGGAGGUAUCAGAAGUGCGAAUGCUGACAUGAGUAACGACAAUGGGUGUGAAAAACACCCACGCCGAAAGACCAAGGUUUCCUGCGCAACGUUAAUCGACGCAGGGUUAGUCGGUCCCUAAGGCGAGGCUGAAAAGCGUAGUCGAUGGAAAACAGGUUAAUAUUCCUGUACUUCUGGUUAUUGCGAUGGAGGGACGGAGAAGGCUAGGCCAGCCUGGCGUUGGUUGUCCAGGUUUAAGGUGGUAGGCUGAGAUCUUAGGUAAAUCCGGGAUCUUAAGGCCGAGAGCUGAUGACGAGUGUUCUUU
rnacentral:rRNA from 1 species